rnacentral:lncRNA from 1 species
GUUUUUAAAGAAAGAAAAAGAAAGUGAAGCAAAGGAAGAGAAAAUUAAGCAAGAAACCACUAAGGUGUAGCUAAGGAGGUCGUAGGCGGUGGCUUGGUGGAGGCGGUGAUAGUCGCGCGACAAAUGGAGCAGAGUUCGAGAUGGUUAGCGAUGGCUAGGUUUGAUGGAGGUGUACACGGUCAAUUGGAGAUGGUGGUGGCUCCUACGAAUUCUACGAUGGUUGACAAAAUGAGUGGUGGUUAUAGACUUUUCCUUUUCUCUUUCUUCUAACUCAUUCUUUAGUUUCUUUUCAUCUCUCUUGAACAUUAUGGAUUGUAUUAUUGGAGUUGCUAAAGGCUAGAAAAUGGAAGUAUGGUGGUGUGAUUUAGUCAAAGUUCUACAUUUUGUAGCGGUUUUUUUUUCUUCCUGUUUUUAUACGCAUCCUAUUGUCUGAUUAUUUUGUACUCAAUUUAUAGUCUCAAAUAAUGAAUAUUUUUUCUUGUUUUUAUUGAGUUCUGGAUUAUCGCUUGUUUCUUGCAGAAAAAUUAGAUUUGCUAAGGUAAAUCUAGAAAAUAGAUGAUGCACUUUUUAAUUACUUAUAUACAUUAGAAAAAUUGUAGCUUUAUUAGGAAGAAAAAAAAGGAGAAAAGCAAUGAGGCUCAAAAUAUGGCUGAAGAGAUUAUGUACUUUUAAUUGCAUGUAUACAUGGAAAAAUUGUAAUUGUAUUAGCAAAUAAUGUAAAAACAAGGAUACUGAAAAGAUGGAAGGGAGCGCGACUAUUUGCUGAGUUGAGCUCGAUUGAUCUAAAAAACAUUUACCGUCAUUUGCAUGCUUUUUAACAAUCUACAAGCCAUGACUUAUAUAUAAUCCCUUCCCUCCAAUUAGUUAUAAUACUAACUAAUUGUCACUGCCAAACUAGAACUAGAGGCAAUUAGAAAACAUAUGCAAUCAGGAACUAGAGGCAACCAAGAACCAGAGGCAAUCAAGAACUAGAGGCAACCAACAAUCAGAGGCAACCAGGAACCAAAGGCAACCAAUAACCAGGAACUAGAGGCAACUAGGAACCAGAGACUAUCGAGAACUAGAGACAACUAUGAACCUGAUGCAACUAAGAACCGAAGGAAACUAGGGCCAAAACUAUCACAUUUACUUAAUACACAAUUUAGACUUUCACUAACUAAUACGCACA